ACAGGGAUUGCCCUAGUAACGGCGAGUGAAGCGGCAACAGCUCAAAUUUGAAAUCUGGCUCUUGUAGAGUCCGAGUUGUAAUUUGCAGAGGGCGCUUUGGCUUUGGCAGCGGUCCAAGUUCCUUGGAACAGGACGUCACAGAGGGUGAGAAUCCCGUACGUGGUCGCUGGCUAUUGCCGUGUAAAGCCCCUUCGACGAGUCGAGUUGUUUGGGAAUGCAGCUCUAAAUGGGAGGUACAUUUCUUCUAAAGCUAAAUAUUGGCCAGAGACCGAUAGCGCACAAGUAGAGUGAUCGAAAGAUGAAAAGCACUUUGGAAAGAGAGUCAAACAGCACGUGAAAUUGUUGAAAGGGAAGCGCUUGCAGCCAGACUUGCUUGCAGUUGCUCAUCCGGGCUUUUGCCCGGUGCACUCUUCUGUAGGCAGGCCAGCAUCAGUUUGGGCGGUAGGAUAAAGGUCUCUGUCACGUACCUCCUUUCGGGGAGGCCUUAUAGGGGAGACGACAUACUACCAGCCUGGACUGAGGUCCGCGCAUCUGCUAGGAUGCUGGCGUAAUGGCUGUAAGCGGCCCGUCUUGAAACACGGACCAAGGAGUCUAACAUCUAUGCGAGUGUUUGGGUGUCAAGCCCGAGCGCGUAAUGAAAGUGAACGGAGGUGGGAACCCGCAAGGGUGCACCAUCGACCGAUCCUGAUGUCUUCGGAAGGAUUUGAGUAAGAGCAUGGCUGUUGGGACCCGAAAGAUGGUGAACUAUGCUUGAAUAGGGUGAAGCCAGAGGAAACUCUGGUGGAGGCUCGCAGCGGUUCUGACGUGCAAAUCGAUCGUCAAAUUUGGGCAUAGGGGCGAAAGACUAAU
rnacentral:rRNA from 2 species